rnacentral:rRNA from 1 species
UACGAAGGGGGCUAGCGUUGCUCGGAAUCACUGGGCGUAAAGGGUGCGUAGGCGGGUCUUUAAGUCAGGGGUGAAAUCCUGGAGCUCAACUCCAGAACUGCCUUUGAUACUGAGGAUCUUGAGUUCGGGAGAGGUGAGUGGAACUGCGAGUGUAGAGGUGAAAUUCGUAGAUAUUCGCAAGAACACCAGUGGCGAAGGCGGCUCACUGGCCCGAUACUGACGCUGAGACGCGAAAGCGUGGG